AGACCCUAUGCAGCUUUACUGUAGUUAGUUAUCACAUUCUCAUAAACUUUGUGUAGCGUAUAAGGUUAAUGUUUGUUUUAAAAACAAAAAGUCGAUAGACACAGUUGAAACACCUUUCUUGGUUUUAUGUUAAUGUUCACCUAAUCUUUUAUGGUUAGGGAUAAAUGACUAAUUGGCAGUUUGUCUGGGGCGGACGUCUUUAAUAGAGUAUCAGAGACAUCCACAAGGUAUGUCUUAAAUUGGAUGGAGACCAAGCAAGCCAUGAACGGUAUAAUAAGGUAUAAUGACUUAAGCAUGCUUAACUGAGAGACCUAUAAGUCAAACAGAUACGUAAGUAGGGCAUAAUGAUCCGGCGGUAUAUAAUGGAAUAGCCGUCGCACAAUAGAUAAAAGUUACGCUAGGGAUAACAGGCUGAUAGUCCGCGAGAGUACAUAUUGUCCGGACUGUUUGGCACCUCGAUGUCGACUCAUCCUAUCCUCCGGGUGUACAAGCUUGGAAGGGUUCGGCUGUUCGCCGAUUAAAAGGGUACGCGAGUUGGGUUCUUUUUACUCUGACGAAGGAAAAAAGAU
rnacentral:ncRNA from 1 species